UCGGGGAUAGAUGAGCCCGCGUUGGAUUAGCUAGUUGGUGGGGUAAAGGCCUACCAAGGCGACGAUCCAUAGCUGGUCUGAGAGGAUGAUCAGCCACAUUGGGACUGAGACACGGCCCAA
rnacentral:rRNA from 1 species